ACGAAGGUGGCAAGCGUUGUCCGGAUUCACUGGGCGUACAGGGUGUGUAGGCGGUUAGGUAAGCCUUCUGUUAAAGCUUCGGGCCCAACCCGGAAAGCGCAGAGGGUACUGCCAGGCUAGAGGGCGGGAGAGGAGCGCGGAAUUCCCGGUGUAGCGGUGAAAUGCGUAGAGAUCGGGAGGAAGGCCGGUGGCGAAGGCGGGUUGCUGGGCUGACACUGACGCCGAGGCGCGAAAGCUAGGGGAGCGAACGGGA
rnacentral:rRNA from 1 species